GAUGAAGAACGCAGCGAAAUGCGAUAAGUAAUGUGAAUUGCAGAAUUCAGUGAAUCAUCGAAUCUUUGAACGCACAUUGCGCCCGCCAGUAUUCUGGCGGGCAUGCCUGUUCGAGCGUCAUUACAACCCUCAGGCCCCCGGGCCUGGCGUUGGGGAUCGGCGGAGCCCCCCGUGGGCACACGCCGUCCCCCAAAUGCAGUGGCGGUCCCGCCGCAGCUUCCAUCGCGUAGUAGCUAACACCUCGCGACUGGAGAGCGGCGCGGCCACGCCGUAAAACACCCAACUCUUCUGAAGUUGACCUCGAAUCAGGUAGGAAUACCCGCUGAACUUAAGCAUAUCAAUAAGGGAGGA
rnacentral:misc_RNA from 1 species